CUCUAUAUUGACAGCAUUCUGGGAGUGAUGGAGAUGUUCAUUAUCUCAGUUAUGGUGACAGUUUCAGGGGAUUGUCCAUCUUACACACGGCUCCUGAUUACGAUGAUGCGAUGUCUCAGAGAAAAAACAACCACCUUCCCAAGACUCCAAAGAGAACAGACUCCUGUAAACAAACUGUUUUCAUCACUUGAAAGCACACUAAUAACAAAUGGAAUUAAAAAAAAAAAAACAGUCGGGGGUGAAGAGCA